rnacentral:rRNA from 1 species
GUGAACGCUGGCGGCAGGCCUAACACAUGCAAGUCGAACGGCAGCACCAGAGAGCUUGCUCUCUGGGUGGCGAGUGGCGGACGGGUGAGGACUGCAUCGGAAUCUGCCCAUUUGUGGGGGAUAACCUCGGGAAACCGGGACUAAUACCGCAUACGACCUACGGGUGAAAGCAGGGGAUCUUCGGACCUUGCGCAGAUGGAUGAGCCGAUGCCGGAUUAGCUAGUUGGAGGGGUAAAGGCCCACCAAGGCGACGAUCCGUAGCUGGUCUGAGAGGAUGAUCAGCCACACUGGGACUGAGACACGGCCCAGACUCCUACGGGAGGCAGCAGUGGGGAAUAUUGGACAAAGGGCGCAAGCCUGAUCCAGCCAUGCCGCGUGUGUGAAGAAGGCCUUCGGGUUGUAAAGCACUUUUGUUGGGAAAGAAAAGCAGCCGGUUAAUACCCGGUUGUCAUGACGGUACCCAAAGAAUAAGCACCGGCUAACUUCGUG